rnacentral:tRNA from 1 species
AACUGGAUAGCCUAAUGCUCAAAGGCAGUGCUUCUAGCACAAUGUCUCAGCAUAUGAGGUCCCAGGUUUGAAUCCUGGUCUAGUCA